UGGGGAAUUUUCCGCAAUGGGCGAAAGCCUGACGGAGCAAUACCGCGUGAGGGAGGACGGCUUUUGGGUUGUAAACCUCUUUUAUCAGGGAAGAAUCGAUGACGGUACCUGAUGAAUCAGCAUCGGCUAACUCCGUGCCAGCAGCCGCGGUAAUACGGAGGAUGCAAGCGUUAUCCGGAAUUAUUGGGCGUAAAGCGUCCGUAGGUGGUUUAUCAAGUCUGCUGUCAAAGCGUGCGGCUUAACCGCAUAAGGGCAGUGGAAACUGAUGAACUAGAGUGCGAUAGGGGUAACAGGAAUUCCCAGUGUAGCGGUGAAAUGCGUAGAUAUUGGGAAGAACACCAGCGGCGAAAGCGUGUUACUGGGUCUGCACUGACACUGAGGGACGAAAGCUAGGGGAGCGAAAGGGAUUAGAUACCCCUGUAGUC
rnacentral:rRNA from 1 species